GAUCCUGCCGGACCUGACUGCUAUCGGAUUGAUACUAAGCCAUGCGAGUCAUUGUAGCAAUACAAGGCAGACGGCCCAGUAACGCGUAGUCAAUCUACCCUAUGGACGGGAAUAACCUCGGGAAACUGAGAAUAAUGCCCGAUAGAACAUUAUGCCUGGAAUGGUUUAUGUUUCAAAUGAUUUAUCGCCAUAGGAUGGGACUGCGGCCUAUCAGUUUGUUGGUGAGGUAAUGGCCCACCAAGACUAUUACAGGUACGGGCUCUGAGAGGAGUGGCCCGGAGAUGGGUACUGAGACACGGACCCAGGCCCUAUGGGGCGCAGCAGGCGAGAAAACUUUGCAAUGUGCGAAAGCACGACAAGGUUAAUCCGAGUGGUUUCUGCUAAAGAAACCUUUUGUCAGUCCUAGAAACACUAACGAAUAAGGGGUGGGCAAGUUCUGGAGUCAGCCGCCGCGGUAAAACCAGCACCUCAAGUGGUCAGGAUGAUUAUUGGGCCUAAAGCAUCCGUAGCCCGUUUUGUAAGUUUUCGGUUAAAUCCAUGCGCUUAACGUAUGGGCUGCCGGGAAUACUGCAUAACUAGGAAGUGGGAGAGGUAGACGGUACUCGGUAGGAAGGGGUAAAAUCCUUUGAUCUAUUGAUGACCACCUGUGGCGAAGGCGGUCUACCAGAACACGUUCGACGGUGAGGGAUGAAAGCUGGGGGAGCAAACCGGAUUAGAUACCCGGGUAGUCCCAGCUGUAAACUAUGCAAACUCAGUGAUGCAUUGGCUUGUGGCCAAUGCAGUGCUGCAGGGAAGCCGUUAAGUUUGCCGCCUGGGAAGUACGUACGCAAGUAUGAAACUUAAAGGAAUUGGCGGGGGAGCACCACAAGGGUGAAGCCUGCGGUUCAAUUGGAGUCAACGCCGG
rnacentral:rRNA from 1 species